ACGGAUUCCGGCAGAACCUCGCCGGGCAUGACGGCGUAACGCGGGCUGGCGUUUUUCAACUUGGCAAAUCUUCGCUUGGGAUCGCUCCUGGUGCCCAGGUAGAUAGCUCGGUACUCUUCGUUGGUGAGGUCAGCGAAUCUGUUCAACCCUACCUUGUAGGUGCGAUUUUGAGCGUUGUGUUCAUCUAUGAACUUGAGGUUAUCUUUGAAUAUCUCAAACCUCUUCUCUUUUUCUCCCA
rnacentral:lncRNA from 1 species